GGGUUGUGAGGUUAAGCGACUAAGCGUACACGGUGGAUGCCCUGGCAGUCAGAGGCGAUGAAGGACGUGCUAAUCUGCGAUAAGCGUCGGUAAGGUGAUAUGAACCGUUAUAACCGGCGAUUUCCGAAUGGGGAAACCCAGUGUGUUUCGACACACUAUCAUUAACUGAAUCCAUAGGUUAAUGAGGCGAACCGGGGGAACUGAAACAUCUAAGUACCCCGAGGAAAAGAAAUCAACCGAGAUUCCCCCAGUAGCGGCGAGCGAACGGGGAGGAGCCCAGAGCCUGAAUCAGUGUGUGUGUUAGUGGAAGCGUCUGGAAAGGCGCGCGAUACAGGGUGACAGCCCCGUACACAAAAAUGCACAUAUUGUGAGCUCGAUGAGUAGGGCGGGACACGUGGUAUCCUGUCUGAAUAUGGGGGGACCAUCCUCCAAGGCUAAAUACUCCUGACUGACCGAUAGUGAACCAGUACCGUGAGGGAAAGGCGAAAAGAACCCCGGCGAGGGGAGUGAAAAAGAACCUGAAACCGUGUACGUACAAGCAGUGGGAGCCUCUUUAUGGGGUGACUGCGUACCUUUUGUAUAAUGGGUCAGCGACUUAUAUUCUGUAGCAAGGUUAACCGAAUAGGGGAGCCGAAGGGAAACCGAGUCUUAACUGGGCGUUAAGUUGCAGGGUAUAGACCCGAAACCCGGUGAUCUAGCCAUGGGCAGGUUGAAGGUUGGGUAACACUAACUGGAGGACCGAACCGACUAAUGUUGAAAAAUUAGCGGAUGACUUGUGGCUGGGGGUGAAAGGCCAAUCAAACCGGGAGAUAGCUGGUUCUCCCCGAAAGCUAUUUAGGUAGCGCCUCGUGAAUUC
rnacentral:rRNA from 1 species